UACAGAGGUCUCAACCGUUGUUCGGAUUCAUUGGGCGUAAAGGGUGCGUAGGCGGCGGGGCAAGUCAGGUGUGAAAUCUCGGGGCUCAACCCCGAAACUGCACUUGAUACUGCCUUGCUCGAGUACUGGAGAGGAGACUGGAAUUUACGGUGUAGCAGUGAAAUGCGUAGAUAUUGGGAAGAACACCGGUGGCGAAGGCGGCUCUCUGGACCGAGACUGACGCUGAGGCGCGAAAGCGUGGGGAGCAAACAGG
rnacentral:rRNA from 1 species